GACGAACGCUGGCGGCGUGCUUAACACAUGCGAGUCGAACGGAAAGGCCCUGCUUUUGUGGGGUGCUCGAGUGGCGAACGGGUGAGUAACACGUGAGUAACCUGCCCUUGACUUUGUGAUAACUUCAGGAAACUGGGGCUAAUACCGGAUAGGAGCUCCUGCUGCAUGGUGGGGGUUGGAAAGUUUCGGCGGUGGGGGAUGGACUCGCGGCUUAUCAGCUGGUUGGGGGGGUAGUGGCUUACCAAGGCUUUGACGGGUAGCCGGCCUGAGAGGGUGAACGGCCACAUUGGGACUGAGAUACGGCCCAGACUCCUACGGGAGGCAGCAGUGGGGAAUAUUGCACAAUGGGCGGAAGCCUGAUGCAGAAACGCCGCGUGCGGGAUGACGGCCUUCGGGUUGUAAACCGCUUUCGCAUGUGACGAAGCGUGAGUGACGGUAAUGGGUAAAGAAGCACCGGCUAACUACGUG
rnacentral:rRNA from 1 species